UCCACGCCGUAAACGAUGAGAGCUAGACGUCAGGCAGCAUGCUGUUUGGUGUCGCAGUUAACGCAUUAAGCUCUCCGCCUGGGGAGUACGGUCGCAAGAUUAAAACUCAAAGGAAUUGACGGGGGCCCGCACAAGCGGUGGAGCAUGUGGUUUAAUUCGACGCAACGCGCAGAACCUUACCAAUCCUUGACAUACUUGUCGCGACACUAGAGAUAGUGUUUCAGUUAGG
rnacentral:rRNA from 1 species